UAGUGAAUAUUCUUGCCGUUCUGAUUUUGUAAUAGUCAGGAUAGGCUAAACAUUUGCUAUGUUAAGCACCGUGCCUGUAUCCCCAGACCUAGUUCUUUCCCUCGGUCUGGUUUUAUCAAUGCUGGUGAUAGAC
ensembl:snoRNA SNORA72 Small nucleolar RNA SNORA72